AAUGCCUUGGGGUUCCCCCGGAGGAGCUGGGGGAGGUCACAGGUUGUGAACACUGAGUUUUCUGGCGCUGAUGAGCUGUUGAACCAGGGUUUAUAUGGAGACAGGUUGAUUGCAGGCAGGUGUGCUCAUCAGCUCCACAAGGGAUGCCACCUGGAAAGAGAGAGA